UUAGCAUCUCAGCCUUUUUGGCUAAGAUCAAAUGUAGCACAUUUUUGGCACCAAGGGGUGUCAGGGAUGGCUCUGGCCUUCCCAUUCCCAGCCUGGUAUUGCAAUACUUCCAGGCCUAGUGACAGUUCC
rnacentral:snRNA from 1 species